AGCAUACGGGAGUUUUUUUCGUUCGGCCUAUUAAGAGCGGGAGUUGAGGGAUCGUGAGAAACGGUGAUGGCCGCUUUAUUCCGGUUGUGUGAGAACGAGAGAGGAAGCGAAGGCAGAGCUGGGUGUGGUUGGGCACUCUCUACAGAGAGCGACGAAGGAAGCUGGGGGGUUCGGUUCUCCUGCAGCUGAGACAUCUCUUAUCUGAGGAUCGAAGGCACCUGGGGCGUUUAUUUUCUGAAGAUCGAAGGCUUGGGUUGGGUCUCCUCUCAGAAUCGGAAGCAAGGCGUUACAGCACCACUAGCAAUGAGCUUGAUGAGUGAACAAUAAAAUUCCACAGUGAAAUUACUGCUCUUUGGUUGGUGUCCUUCCAUCUGGGGUCAUGACAACAUCCAAACCUUGUUCUUUUAUUGAAGGGGAGUGCUAUUUCGUGAAGUUUACGGAUGUGAUUUUUUUCUCUCUUAAGAUUUUUCGGUCUUGUAUAUCAGUAAUCUAUGAACUGCAAAUCUUCUUGAACUAUUGAAUACUGUUCAUAUUUAGCCUUUUGGCAAAUAAAUUCAUUUAGAGGUUAUUUGAUCCAAAAUAAAUGCAUCAUUAGUUAAACUGAUUUCAUUUUUUUACAUUUUAAUCUUUAAUUUUGAUUUUCCAUCUUUAUCAAUUUCUUCUUUACUACUUCGAUUGACACCUUUCUUACCUCUCUUCACCACUUUGGCCUACAAAAUUACUAGGGGCAAGGCUAAUACACCGAAAACUGCUAGUAUGGCCCUCAAACACAGAAAUAUUUGGAAAGGAUUUGUCUGAUAACCUAUGCAAUAGGGAAAUAGGCAUGGUUGGAUGAAAAAAAUGAUUUCAUCCCAAUUUAUCACUUUCAAAUGAAAAUUUUAUUUGUGCCUGUAGAUAAUCUUAUAUGGGAUUCCAUUAAUUCAUUUAUUUAUUUACUUUUGUCUUUCUGUUGCCACAUAGAUGCAUCGAUGGCCCAAACAUCCCAUCAUCUCUUUGAAUUUUAGCUUAAAAUCCACUUGCGGGCAUUGUUGUUUAAUGUCGUUUUUCUUCUAAAGAAGACUUGACAAGCAAUGAGUCUUGUCAGUAUGUCACUUGUCAAUUAUAAUUUUGUUUGUGAUGUCUAAAACCUAGGGCCUCUACCACAUCCCAAUAUGCGUGCUCUACUUGCACCAAUACGCACAGUCAGCUGCAUUCCAAGGAAGCUUUUUCAACCUUUUGCAUAUUGAUCAGAAUAUUACAAAAAAAAUGGGUCUACACCCUCCACUCGAAUGGAACAGGACAAUCACUAGUUAACAUUAAGUUAACACAUUUGAGGGCAUUGAUGCAGUAUUGAUGGUUAUAGGUGAUGAGGUCAGUUAUCACUUUACACAGUGUAAAAUACUGUUACCAUUGGAUUUUAUAUUCUGCCUUUACCUGCAACUCUAAUUUGUUAGUGCAUGGCCAUGCAUUGCUUGCUCAAACUUAUCAUUCCCACUUAGAACGCUGCAGUUCUCCUCGCCUUUUGAUAUUUAGUGGUGUAAGUGUUCACAAUACUAGAUACUGCAGAAAAGGAAAAGGAUGGAGGAGGUUUUGCCUCUAUGUGUAUAUUUUAAACCAGCCAAAGCUUUUUGAAUGCUGAUACAUCUUAUCAUAUCCGUCCAGUCAAGAUCAUGCGUCUCUCUUGCGUGGGCCAAACUGAUUCCUUGUGUUUGGUGUGUAGGCCCCUAGAUUGCUUGAUAGAGACUCCACAUUUUUUCUUCUGUUCUUCAAGUAUUGCUUUGAAUUUGAUUGUAACAAUAAUUCAUUGGCACUGUUUGUUUC